AUAGCCAACGUAAAGGAAGCAUCUUCAAAAAGCAGUGCUACAAGGAUGUGAGCAGCAGUUUCCCUUCAACGAACGGGUCAAAUUCAUGGAAGCCACGUGCCUGCUGCCUCUGGCCUACACAAAUAUCCAGCCACCAUAGUAAAGUUCUUGCAAAGACAUUCUACACGAACUAGCCCAAAGGCGGAAGGAAGGCACGCACAGAUGAACGCACAAAAAUCAUGAGGCUGCCGUAGAAGCUGUGAAUGAGCAUUAACCUACGUACAGAAAGGAGCGAAGUGGAGCUGUCCAUGGGCC
rnacentral:lncRNA from 1 species